UACGUAGGGGGCCAGCGUUGCUCGGAAUUACUGGGCGUAAAGGGUCCGUAGGCGGUGUAGCAAGUCGAUAGUGAAAUCUCUGGGCUUAACCCAGAGGCUGCUAACGAAACUGCUGUGCUAGAGUGUGAGAGAGGCGAGUGGAAUUACGGGUGUAGCGGUGAAAUGCGUAGAUAUCCGGAGGAACAUCCGAGGCGAAAGCGGCUUGCUGGAUCAUUUCUGACGCUGAGGGACGAAAGCUAGGGGAGCAAACAGG
rnacentral:rRNA from 1 species